rnacentral:rRNA from 1 species
UACGUAGGGGGCGAGCGUUGUCCGGAUUUAUUGGGCGUAAAGAGCGUGUAGGCGGCCAGGUAGGUCCGUUGUGAAAACUCGAGGCUCAACCUCGAGACGUCGAUGGAAACCAUCUGGCUAGAGUCCGGAAGAGGAGAGUGGAAUUCCUGGUGUAGCGGUGAAAUGCGCAGAUAUCAGGAAGAACACCUAUGGCGAAGGCAGCUCUCUGGGACGGUACUGACGCUGAGACGCGAAGGUCAGGGGAGCAAACGGG